rnacentral:misc_RNA from 1 species
GCAAACUUGGUCAUUUAGAGGAAGUAAAAGUCGUAACAAGGUUUCCGUAGGUGAACCUGCGGAAGGAUCAUUACCGAGUGAGGGUCUCUUGUAGGCUCGACCUCCCAACCCUUGUGUUUAAUUAUACUACGUUGCUUCGGCGGGCCCGUCUCUGGACCGUCGGACCUCUGGGUCUGACCUGCUGCCCGUCGACAGGCCAACUUAAACUCUUGAUUUAACUGUGUUGUCUGAGUUAUACAACUAAAUGAAACAAAACUUUCAACAACGGAUCUCUUGGUUCUGGCAUCGAUGAAGAACGCAGC